rfam:Oryza glumipatula chromosome 6, whole genome shotgun sequence.
AAAAAGGCAAACCCUGGGUUUCCGUGUCCAACUUUGACUGUCCGUCUUAUAUGAAUUUUUUUUAUAAUUCAUAUUUUUAUUGUUGUUAGAUGAUAAAACAUAAUUAAUACUUUGUGCGUGACUUGUCUUUUUUAUUUUUUUCAUAAUUUUUUCAAAUAAGACGGUCGGUCAAACGUUGGGCACAGAAACCAGGGUUUGUCUUUUU